CCUACGGGUGGCAGCAGUGAGGAAUAUUGGUCAAUGGGCGCGCGCCUGAACCAGCCAAGUAGCGUGAAGGAUGACUGCCCUACGGGUUUUAAACUUCUUUUAUAAAGGAAUAAAGUGAGGCACUUGUGCCUUUUUGUGUGUCCUUUAUGCAUAAGGCUCGGCUAACUCCGUGCCAGCAGCCGCGGUAAUACGGAGGAUCCGAGCGUUAUCCGGAUUUAUUUGGUUUAAAGGGCGCGUAGAUGGGUUGUUAAGUCAGUUGUGAAAGUUUGCGGCUCAACCGUAAAAUUGCAAUUGAUACUGGCAGCCUUGAGAACAGUUGAGGUAGGCGGAAUUCGUGGUGUAGCGGUGAAAUGCUUAGAUAUCACGAAGAACUCCGAUUGCGAAGGCAGCUUACUAAACUGCCACUGACAUUGAUGCUCGAAAGUGUGGGUAUCAAACAGGAUUAGAUACCCGGGUAGUC
rnacentral:rRNA from 1 species